GGGAGAGUAUGGCGGACUGGUGUCGCCCCGGGACUUCAAAUCCCGUGGAGGGUAGCUCUGGCUACUCCUCGGAGGGUUCGAUUCCCUCACUCUCCC
rfam:Thermocrinis minervae strain DSM 19557 genome assembly, chromosome: I